UCCUCCCUCGAAAUUGUAUUUUGAAGACAAUCAAAAGUAGAGCAUGUUCUGGGUGUGGUUGCAUUUGAUUUUCCCAAUAGCCAAAGUGGGGGGAACUGCUAAAGGAGAAAGACAGAGCAUCUGCUGCUGAAACAAGCGGAGAUCAAGGGCAGCAGGAUGAAGACCUCUGCAACCCUUACAGCACUGUGUCUGUUAGCUUUCUCCUUUUCCCCAGCUGGCUGGUUUCCAUGGGUGGUCAAUGGACAAGAACUGGAAAGUGAAACUGGUGAUGUUCAGACAAGCUCUCUCAUCAGCACCCCUGCUGCAGAUGUAACACCACCUGUUCUUCUCAGUCCUGUUCAGUCUGACACUGAAACUACAACAGCUUCAUCAGAUUGUCGUGAGGAGCAGUUCCCUUGCACACGCCUGUAUUCUGUUCACAAACCAGUAAAGCAGUGUAUCAGCUACCUUUGUGUUACCAGUGUGCGUCGCAUGUACGUAAUAAACAAGGAGGUGUGCUCUCGCAUUGUCUGCAAGGAAAAUGAAGUCAUGCAAGAUGAGAUCUGUCGCCAACUGGCCGGCCUUCCUUCUCGACGUCUCCGCCGAUCUGGGCAACUCCCAUAUCUCCCUUGUAAACAGAUCCUGGAGCAGCAGCACAGGAGGCCUGAUGCUCUGUGAGCUACCAAAAGUAGAAGAGAAAAAAGAAGAGAGAGAAGAGAAAUCAUCAUCCCCUGCCUACAACCCAAGACAAGUCCUUCUUUCUUGUUGUGAUUCCCCCACCAUUUCCUUGCUUCUCUGCUUUCUCCCACAUCCUCUUCUUCAAGUGCUGCAGUGCACAGAGUUCCCUAUCUGUCAUGGUAGCUGCAACUGUCUUCUAAAUCUGUUGCUGAGGAUGUGGGAUGCUCCCCUUUUCUCUCCGUUUCUACUUGGCAGGCUUGUUUCCCAGAGGUCCUUAUGUCUGUGUAUUGUCUCUGCAGAGAAACAUGAAUGGAGAUAGGGUGUCCUCUCCAAUGGAGGAAAUGCCCUAAGCUGUGUCUCAUGUGGAGGAAUGCAAGACUGUAUACACAAGGCUUUAUGCCCUGGCCUAGGUUUCUUGCAUGGCAUGAGUACAAGUUCUGAUACUCCUAGUCAUACUGUCCUUCUCCUGUCCUCCACAGCUACUGAGUUUGCUCUGUGUCUGCUGGACUCAGAGAAGUGACAGAACUGGGAGAUGAGCUGUCCUCCACCCAAGGCAAACCUCAUUGUAUGGCAGCAGAUGAUCUGUAACUACCUCUGGGAAGUUCUUCAUUUCAUGCCCAUUGCCUCCCUCACACAAAUACUACCAAAAGGAAGAAUUCUUGAUUUAAUAUGGCAUUAUACUUUUCUCAAGAAGAUUAUGUUCUCAAGAAGAGAGAUCUCUCUUCUCAUCUCUCCUUUUCUCUCCUCUCCUUUGCUCUUCCCUUUCCACUGAAGAAAACUCUUGAUACCCAUUUCAGACAAGUUUCAGGAAGCAGGAAGUAUGGAUACACCUGUUCCUAAGCCCAAGAGAGCCCCCAAAACAUGUGUGUCCUUAAAGAACUGGGGACUUGCUUCUUGUGGGGUGAAGGACAGGGCAAGAGACAAUGAAUUAGCUUGUCCUGAUGACUUGUUUGAUCUAGUUUCAUCUACACUCACCAGCUGCUGAGUCCACUUUCACUAUCUCCACUUGAGUUCCUACCUCCUGACCUGGUGUGUUCUGCACAGAAAGGAGUCAAGCUGAAAUGACAUGUGGUAGAGGAAUCAUUAUCUGGGGGGAUCCUUGGGUUUUCCUGCAGGUUUUCUGUGUGCUGUAUUGCACAGAACCGGGUGCUGGUGGGGAGGUGGAUAUAUCUCUAGGUAUGAGCAUAGAAACAGGCCAACCUCGGGAAAAUAAUUCACUCUGGUAGCACUGGAUGUCUGUUGGCUGCUAGAGAACCUCACUUUCUAGAUGCACAGAAAACAUUUCCAGGUACACGGUCAGUGUUCUGAGAUUGGAUAAGGGAAGUGGUGAAAAGCUGUCUGAAGAGUCUUCAUCACUCUCUGUGACUUUUGGUGGCAUGCCUAACUGUUCUGUAGAGCACCUUAUCUCAGCAUCUAUCUCAAUACAGCAAAAUCAAUAAGGAACUCUGGGCACUGUUCCUAGCUCUAGCAUAGUUUGCUACAGCAUGUAUUCGCAAUCACAACACAAUGUACUCUGCUACUGAACCGAGUACCAUUCAGCCUGGCAGGAACAGCGGUCUGCUGAACAACCAGAGUAACACAGCACAUAAGUUUGCUGUACAGAGUUAGAAUUCUCAGAAAACUGAUGAGAGCCUCUCCACAAUACUUGGAUUUCUGCUGUAUGCAGAUAGAAGCUGCAUUACAUCCUCCAUGUACGGAAGGACAUCCUGCAGAGGCAUGUUUGCUCUAUAUAUGGUCAAAAUUGGCUAAAUGGGCUAAAUCUCUAAAGGUUAAUAAAUUUUAUAGGACAAAGAAUUUCAAGUUAUGCACUGACUGCAUAUAUAUACAUAAGGGCAUAGCCCUUGUACACAGAGGAUGAUGUUCCUAUUGAGUACUCUAGGCUCAAGAGAUUAGGGAUGGAUGAGGAAAUUAUACUGAAUACACGUUUGUGCAGAGAGGAGGGCACCAAGAACUUAAUCUCAAAACUGAUCAAGUAACUUGCAGUCACUGACUUCUAUGCUGGGAUGCCUAUGAAGCCCCUCCUCACAUCCUGCCCCCCUGUAGGAUGGAAAUGAGAAGUUAGAAGGAGCUCUUGGAAAUUGGACUAGGGCAAGUCCCCACCCUGUAUUUAGAGUUGAAUAUAAGCUGAUAUAUAGAUAUAUAGAUAUAUAACUGCAUAACAUAUCUACUGUACAGUAUAUAGAAGUAUUCAUACAAUUUGGGGAAUAGUUAGAAAUCUUUCUGUUGCUUGCUUUCAGCAAGGAUAGGAAGAGGUGCUCCUCCCCAGGAGAACACUGUUCUAAUGCUUGAGUCCGUAUAAUAUACACAAAACAUUAAAAGAAAGUUUAUUUUCUGUUUUUCUUGGCAAAUCUCAUGUGUCUGAGUUUAUUUGUCUCUAGCUGUAUUUCCUCCAGCUUUGUGGGUAGACUUGAUUCCAGCCCAAAUCUGCCAUUUGGACCUCUUUAAUCCCUGCUAGCUCAUUCCUGAGCUGCUACCUGCUUCACUCAUGAAUCGCAGGUCUUUCUAGGAGCUCAUUAUUUUUUCUUCAGAUACAGAAAAUUAUUCGCAGCUUUUUUUUUUUUUUUUAAUUUCCCAUGGAUCAUUGUGCUACAUUUUUCUGGCAGUUCAUAGUUGGAGAGUAAAAUGAUAACUUGAGAUAUGUGUUGAAAAUGUGUUGCAACUAAGCAUGUGCCAUGAUUUACUGGUAAAGAAUUACUGUCUCCAAGUAAAAUGGUGAGGUGGUGUGGUGGUAAAACGGUAAGAAAAGAACUGUGAUACAUCACUUUCACUUUAUAAGCAAAGAAUCUGUUCUCUAGUGACAUAGGAAGUUCCGCACAAAUGUGCGCAAGAACUUCUUUACAGUGAGGUGACGGAGCACUGGAACAGGCUGCCCAGGGAGGUGGUGGAGUCUCCUUCUCUGGAGAUGUUCAAGACCUGCCUGGAUGCCUACCUGUGCAACCUGGUGUAGGGAACCUGC